rnacentral:misc_RNA from 1 species
UUUCCGUAGGUGAACCUGCGGAAGGAUCAUUAUUGUAUAACCGAGGUGCGAGGGCUGUCGCUGACCCGAAAGGUCGUGCACGCCCGAGUGCCCUCACACACAUCCAUCUUACCCCUAUGUGCACCACCGCGUGAGUCCCCCUUUGGCUUGUUCGGAGGGGGGCUUACGUUUUCACACAAACUUUGUAUGCAGUGUAGAAUGUAUUUUUUGUUUUUGCGAUCACGCAAUCAAUACAACUUUCAACAACGGAUCUCUUGGCUCUC